UGAAUAUAGUUUAAUCAAAACCCUAGCCCGUGACCCUAGAGAUGAGGACUAAUUAACCUCUAUUCACC
rnacentral:tRNA from 1 species